GACUCUUUUGUGUGCUGUCUGGGGGAGGUUUUCCAGAGCCUGGCGUAGCUGGGUCUGGCUGGGAGGUUGAGAUAGUGGGUGAUUAGGCUGGUCAGUCUGCACCAGCAUAGUUUAGUUAGAGAGGGCUCCAAUUGGGAGCUAGGUUUUCGUUUUAUGAUUUGGUUUUGGGGUUUGAGCGAUUAAAAAUAAAGCGCUAUUUUGUUCAAAGCUGCUGUUCCUGACUCUGAUUGCCCUAGAGGACUGUGCUUAGGACCCCUAAAAAGUGACAUAAUGCGGGCAAAGCACUGCUAUGGUCUGUGGGCAGAAAGCAGGAACCAA